AAUGGGGGGCAUCGCAUCUUCUCCCGUUCGGCUCCUUCUCACGCGACUGUCGUUUCUUCUCCUUCACUGACGGCCGGCGGCCACCUCCACUCAACCACCGCCGCCGGCCGGACACCAUCUCCUUCCUUCUUCUAUUCACACCGCAGCCAAGGAAUUUUGCCUCUACCGCUCAGUCUUCUCUCUGUUCGCGACGUCCUCUGUGUUCGCGGCAUUUCUUCCUCGCGCGGGCUAGGGUUCGCGACAGAUUCAACAGGCGACUUCAUUCCUCCGAGUUCUGAGUUCGAGCAGCAACAUCUUCUCCAGAUUUGGUCAGCACAGCAGACUUCAAUUCCAGCACUACUUCCUUCAUCCGGACCAGAUUUGGCCAGUCACAGCUCCACCUUUUCUUCCACAGCAGUCUUCAAGUUCGAUCAGCAAUUCUUCAACAGAUCUGGACAGCUUUUGUUUGUUGCAGUUUCUUCACUUGAUUCGAAUUGAUAGUGAUGUUUCUUUUAGUUGAUUGUUUGAUGCUUGUAUUGAGUUGUUCUCCCAUGUUUUAGAUUUGCACGUACUCAUGUCAUUUCGAUUUAUGCUCAUAAGGUGUUCGACAAAAUGUUUCUUCCAACAGUAGGUUUAAAUUCGUGCACUUUAUUUCACUUAAUGUUUGCUUGUCUUAUCUUUUGCAAUUGCUAUAAGUUUUGUUCUUCAUUUGAAUGCAAUUAGGCUAGGGUAGAUUAGCUUUCUUUAAUGCUCUAAGUUACAUUCCAUGCUUAGUUUCAUUACAUGCUUACUUUAUUUGACUUAAUGUGUAGUGUCCAUCUCCAUUCAGUCCCUUAGUAGAUCAAGAAUGUCAUGCUAUAGAAUGUACCUCUUUUUUAUUGGAGAAGAUGAUUCUGUUUCCAUUUUGAUAUCAGGUUCAUAAGCAGGGUGUUGCACUUGGAAGAUCUGUUGACUUGACAAAGUUUGAUGGUUAUGACCAAUUGAUCGAGGAGUUAGAUCAGCUAUUUGAAUUCAAAGGAGAAUUGAUGGCUCCAAAUAAAAAUUGGAUGAUUGUAUUUACUGAUAAUGAGGAUGAUAUAAUGCUUGUUGGAGAUGACCCUUGGCAGGAAUUUUGUGCUAUGGUCCGUCUGAUUUUUAUAUACCCAAAAGAGGAGGUCAGAAGAUGGAUUCAAGUACCUUGAACCCAAAAAAUGAAAAAUGUCAAGGAAACAAAAGGCAGUCAAUCUGCAUCAUCAUCUAAUUCAAAAAACUCAUAGGCUUAUCCUGCAAUAUCACUAUCAAGGAAGAAUGUUCAAAGGAAAGUAAAGGCUAAGGAGAAGAUCACGUAAUUAACUACACGGGUCUAGUGAAAAUACUGAAGAAGUAUGACAAGAGAACAGGAGCACUUAUCAGGCAACCCUUCAUCGAAAAGGUGCUGCAGUAGCCAUUCUUUACAACUGAUCUCCUAUAUAUACAAACUCGUGAAGGAGUGUGUGGCUAUGCUCGACCACCUCUUCCCCAACAACAACCUGUCAAUUUCAGCAAAAUGCGACGGACAAAAUGGAGUGCCAAAGCCGACACAAUCAGGUGGGAGCGUUCCGGAGUUGGAGGAGAUUAAAUAUAUGCAGAGCUUAUACAUGAAGAGCACCGUAGCAGCACUGCGGUCCUUGAAACAGAUUAGGAGCAAAAGUUCAACAGUCAAAACAGAUUAGAAAAUCUCAUGUUAUAUUAUUCUACCUUUGUUAUAAUAGUGUUAUCAUUUUGUUGGUUGCUUA